rnacentral:rRNA from 1 species
CCACCUGAUUCCAUUCCGAACUCAGAAGUGAAACGAAAUAGCGUCGAUGGUAGUGUGGGGUUUCCCCAUGUGAGAGUAGAACAUCGCCAGGC